rnacentral:rRNA from 1 species
AUUGAACGCUGGCGGCAGGCUUAACACAUGCAAGUCGAGCGGAGCGAGGGUGCUUGCACCUUAGCUUAGCGGCGGACGGGUGAGUAAUGCUUAGGAAUCUGCCUAUUAGUGGGGGACAACAUUCCGAAAGGGAUGCUAAUACCGCAUACGUCCUACGGGAGAAAGCAGGGGAUCACUUGUGACCUUGCGCUAAUAGAUGAGCCUAAGUCGGAUUAGCUAGUUGGUGGGGUAAAGGCCUACCAAGGCGACGAUCUGUAGCGGGUCUGAGAGGAUGAUCCGCCACACUGGGACUGAGACACGGCCCAGACUCCUACGGGAGGCAGCAGUGGGGAAUAUUGGACAAUGGGGGGAACCCUGAUCCAGCCAUGCCGCGUGUGUGAAGAAGGCCUUAUGGUUGUAAAGCACUUUAAGCGAGGAGGAGGCUCUUUUGGUUAAUACCCAGAAUGAGUGGACGUUACUCGCAGAAUAAGCACCAGCUAACUCUGUGCCAGCCGCCGCUGUAAAAC